rnacentral:rRNA from 1 species
UACGUAGGGUGCGGGCGUUAAUCGGAAUUACUGGGCGUAAAGCGUGCGCAGGCGGAUUGUUAAGCAAGAUGUGAAAUCCCCGGGCUUAACCUGGGAAUGGCAUUUUGAACUGGCAAUCUAGAGUGUGUCAGAGGGGGGUAGAAUUCCACGUGUAGCAGUGAAAUGCGUAGAGAUGUGGAGGAAUACCGAAGGCGAAGGCGGCCCCUUGGGAAUGUACUGACGCUCAUGUGCGAAAGCGUGGGGAGCAAACAGG